UAAAUGAUAGACACUCUUAAACAUUAAGUUUCUUUAGUGCAAACUAACUCCAUAAAGUGCAAACUACCUAUCUGUGAGUGCUGUGUGUUGGGAUUAAUGCUUGAUUAGUCCUUGAUAUGUCUCAGUGCAAGCUUAAUCCUUAUAUUUUAGCUGCUUUAUUGCCUAACAUCCCCUGCCUUGGAUACUCCAAAUCAGAGCUAUUUCUUCCUUUGUUUUCAAAUCUCAGCUGAAAGCAAAUGCAAAGCUUUUAAACUCAAUUUAAACAAUCACUGAUUAAUAUAAUUCAUGUUUUAUUCGUAACCACAUUGCAUUUACGGUCAUAAUUCCCUGGGAUCUCUGAAGUAGACGAAGUGCAACUGAGUUGAUGCUAUUGUGAAUUGUCUUAUUUUUUGUGGGGUUUGAUAUUCAUAUGUCAAAAUUUUGUAUUCUUGUAAUUUCAUGUAGAACAUUAGGAAGAUGAGAUGCAUUCUCUUCUUCACUAAAUAAAGACUUCAUAACUUUUUUAAAACAAAGGUUAAAAGAGCAAUAACAGAGAUCAAGAUUUGGUAAUAUAGUUCUAUCCACAAAAAAUAAGAAGGCUUCUUUAGUGAAGCUAACUCUGUUGUGAAACUUAAUCGAUCAGGACAGAUGUAAGCCAUAACUAGUUUGGACUUUGGAAUUCAAACAUUGCAUCUUAACCCAUAUCGUAUCAAACCUUAAGCUGUGAUUUAAAUCCACCUUUUUUGCCCUUCUGGUUGGAAUAUUUUGAAUUAUCGAGAAAGAAGUCUUUGACUCUUUAGCAUAAAUGUGCUCAUAAGAAAUUGAAUACCAUUUUUUCUUUGCAAGAAUGCCCUAAGAUGCUCCAUAAUAAAAUAUGAUUUUUGCAAAUGUUAACCCUUACGUUGUUGAGUUUCUUGCAAUUCUCAUUCGAUUUAGCGAACUAUGCUGGCAUUCCUUACAAGAUGCUCAUCAAUGUAUGUGUCUUCUUGUGCUUGUAGGGAACAGGGGAUCUAAUGACUGCGCUCCUGCUUGGAUGGAGUAAU
rnacentral:lncRNA from 1 species